AUAAGGUCAAGUUAGUAAGGGCAUACGGUGGAUGCCUAGGCGCUGAGAGGCGAAGAAGGGCGCGGACAGCUGCGAAAAGCUACGGAGAGCCGCAAGCAGGCGUAGACCCGUAGAUACCCGAAUGGGGCAACCCGUCCGGAGUCAUAUCCGGACAUCGCUGACUGAAUCCAUAGGUCAGCGAAGCCAACCCGGGGAACUGAAACAUCUAAGUACCCGGAGGAAAAGAAAUCAAGCGAGAUUCCCCCAGUAGCGGCGAGCGAACGGGGAA
rnacentral:rRNA from 1 species